rnacentral:rRNA from 1 species
AGAGUUUGAUCCUGGCUCAGGACGAACGCUGGCGGCGUGCCUAAUACAUGCAAGUAGAACGCUGAAAUAAGAGCUUGCUCUUAUGGAUGAGUUGCGAACGGGUGAGUAACACGUGGGGAACCUACCUUCUAGCGGGGGAUAACACAUAGAAAUGUGUGCUAAUACCGCAUAAUAGUAUUUGAUGCAUAUCAGAUACUUGAAAGGCGCAAUUGCGUCACUAGAAGAUGGCCCCGCGGUGCAUUAGCUAGUUGGUGAGGUAACGGCUCACCAAGGCAAUGAUGCAUAGCCGACCUGAGAGGGUGAUCGGCCACACUGGGACUGAGACACGGCCCAGACUCCUACGGGAGGCAGCAGUAGGGAAUCUUCGGCAAUGGACGCAAGUCUGACCGAGCAACGCCGCGUGAGUGAAGAAGGUUUUCGGAUCGUAAAACUCUGUUGUAAGAGAAGAACGUUGAUGAGAGUGGAAAGUUCAUCAAGUGACGGUAUCUUACCAGAAAGCCACGGCUAACUACGUGCCAGCAGCCGCGGUAAUACGUAGGUGGCAAGCGUUGUCCGGAUUUAUUGGGCGUAAAGCGAGCGCAGGCGGUUGAUUAAGUCUGAUGUGAAAGCCCCCGGCUCAACCGGGGAGGGUCAUUGGAAACUGGUCAACUUGAGUGCAGAAGAGGAGAGUGGAAUUCCAUGUGUAGCGGUGAAAUGCGUAGAUAUAUGGAGGAACACCAGUGGCGAAGGCGGCUCUCUGGUCUGUAACUGACGCUGAGGCUCGAAAGCGUGGGGAGCGAACAGGAUUAGAUACCCUGGUAGUCCACGCCGUAAACGAUGAGUGCUAAGUGUUGGAGGGAUUCCGCCCUUCAGUGCUGCAGCUAACGCAUUAAGCACUCCGCCUGGGAGUACGACGCAGUGAAACUCAAGAUGACG